UAACGGACCAAUCGUGUCCCGGCCCGUUAAUAAUAUAAAAUUUAAAAUCGAGCCAAAAUUAGCCGACGAAGUCUAAACGAAAGUUGUAGAGUACGUUCCCACCUUCGCGUGGAUAUAAAGAACGUCGAAAACGGAGGUCGUACGCGAAAGUUACGAAUUUUUAAAGUUUGUACUCGUNGAGAAUCGAAGAUCUCGUUGAGAGUAGCGUAACGAGAAAAAGAUGGGCGAAAACGGAUGUCGGAUGAAGAAGUUAUGAGGAUUUAACGGACCAAUCGUGUCUCGGCCCGUUAAUAAUAUAAAAUUUAAAAUCGAGCCAAAAUUAGCCGACGAAGUCUAAACGAAAGUUGUAGAGUACGUUCCCACCUUCGCAUGUAUAUAAACAACGUCGAAAACGGAGGUCGUACGCGAAAGUUACGAAUUUUUAAAGUUUGUACUCGUUUUUGCGAGGUCUGAUACGAAUUCGCUGACGUGGCGCUUUCCCAGCCGUCCGAUGAUGAUCGCUGAAGUCGCCUCGGAUGAGUGACGCGUCGCCCCUCGCUACGCCCAGCGUUCGGUCUCGUACGCGCCGCGUUCGCUUAGCCGUUCUCGGUCCAGAAGAAGCCACGUCGCACCACCGAGCCUUCGCCACCUGGAGGUCUGAUCCGAAGCUACGCCCCGCGUCCGAGGACCUGUACGCCCAGCGUACGUCCGAGGACCAGGCUAUAAAAGGGGACCGAGGCUGCCCACAUUUUCACACCAAAAAUAACUUCUCUCUCUAGUUUCUUUCUCUCUCUAGAGUUCCAAACCCCCCCUAAGCCCUAGAUAAAACCCUUAGCACCCUAGGAAAGCCCCGAGGCUCCCGGAAUCCCGAGAAAAAGGAGUUUUUCGGUUUCGAAACGUUGCUCCAAUCAAGUCCCGGUUCUCGAUAAAAAUCGCUGUAAGUGUGCUACGCUUACGCAAUUUUUA
rnacentral:lncRNA from 1 species